UUCUGCUCAUGAAUUUAAUAGCCGCAGUACCUUGACUGUGCUAAGGUAGCAUAAUCAAUUGGCUCAUAAUUGGAGUCUAGCAUGAAUGAAAGAAUGGGUAAACACUGUCUCUGUCUUACAGAUUGAAAUUACUAAGCAGGUGAAAAUACCUGUACUCAAAUAAUAGACGAGAAGACCCUAGAAGCUUUCACAAUAAUAAUGUGUUCUGCUGGGGCGGCAUAGUGACAAUUGAACUCACUGUAAUUACACGAAAAUAGUUUGUAUGAUAAAGCUACUCUAGGGAUAACAGCAUAAUUUACAAAAGUUUGUGACCUCGAUGUUGGACUAGGGAUUGUGCUUUUUAGAAGACAGCAUUAAUAGCUCUGUUCGCGCUUUUCACCCUACGUGAUCUGAGUUCAGACCGGA
rnacentral:rRNA from 1 species